rnacentral:rRNA from 1 species
GGCUUGCGGCAGCUACACAUGCAGUCGAACGGUAGCACAGAGAGCUUGCUCUCGGGUGACGAGUGGCGGACGGGUGAGUAAUGUCUGGGAAACUGCCUGAUGGAGGGGGAUAACUACUGGAAACGGUAGCUAAUACCGCAUAACGUCGCAAGACCAAAGAGGGGGACCUUCGGGCCUCUUGCCAUCAGAUGUGCCCAGAUGGGAUUAGCUAGUAGGUGGGGUAACGGCUCACCUAGGCGACGAUCCCUAGCUGGUCUGAGAGGAUGACCAGCCACACUGGAACUGAGACACGGUCCAGACUCCUACGGGAGGCAGCAGUGGGGAAUAUUGCACAAUGGGCGCAAGCCUGAUGCAGCCAUGCCGCGUGUAUGAAGAAGGCCUUCGGGUUGUAAAGUACUUUCAGCGGGGAGGAAGGUGUUGUGGUUAAUAACCGCAGCAAUUGACGUUACCCGCAGAAGAAGCACCGGCUAACUCCGUGCCAGCAGCCGCGGUAAUACGGAGGGUGCAAGCGUUAAUCGGAAUUACUGGGCGUAAAGCGCACGCAGGCGGUCUGUCAAGUCGGAUGUGAAAUCCCCGGGCUCAACCUGGGAACUGCAUUCGAAACUGGCAGGCUGGAGUCUUGUAGAGGGGGGUAGAAUUCCAGGUGUAGCGGUGAAAUGCGUAGAGAUCUGGAGGAAUACCGGUGGCGAAGGCGGCCCCC